CCUACGGGAGGCAGCAGUGAGGAAUAUUGGUCAAUGGCCGGAAGGCUGAACCAGCCAUGCCGCGUGCAGGUCAGUGCCCUAUGGGCUUUAAACUUCUUUUGUGCGGGAGCAAUAAUGGUCACGUGUGGCCAGACGAGAGUACCGUACGAAUAAGCAUCGGCUAACUCCGUGCCAGCAGCCGCGGUAAUACUGGGGAGGCAAGCGUUAUCCGGAUUUAUUGGGUUUAAAGGGUGCGUAGGCUGUGAGUUAAGUUAGCGGUGAAAUGCCCCCGCGCAACGGGGUGAAGUGCCAUUGAUACUGGCUUGCUGGAAUGCGGAUGCGGUGAGAGGAAUGUGUGGUGUAGCGGUGAAAUGCAUAGAUAUCACACAGAACACCGAUUGCGAAGGCAUCUCACGAAUCCGAGAUUGACGCUGAUGCACGAAAGCGUGGGUAUCAAACAGGAUUAGAUACCCGUGUAGUC
rnacentral:rRNA from 1 species